rnacentral:lncRNA from 1 species
GCCAUCAAACGUCCUCGGGCUGCACCUCCUAAAUUCACCGAGGCGCUCCAUAAGCCGAUCCCGCUCAGCUCCCUCGGCCAUCACGGGGAAUGCUGCCCCUGUCACCGGUCUCUGAACAGGUAGUGCCGCAGCCACCUCCUCCCGAGGUGCGGUCGCGGGUGCCGCACGUAAAGAACUGGGCGCGGGGGACUGCGCCCUCGGUGCGACAUCCACCACAGGUGCUGGCGGUGUAGGACCCUGGGUCUCCCUCGAUGCUGCUGUCUGCUGAAGUAGGAGGUCCUCAAGAUGCUUCAUCCGCGCCUCCUGCCGCUGAGCCACCUCGGCCUGUCGCUGCGCCGCCGCUGUCUGCUGCGCCAACAAAUCAGUAAGAACCGCAAGCUGGGCCCUCA